rnacentral:rRNA from 1 species
UGGGGAAUAUUGCACAAUGGGCGCAAGCCUGAUGCAGCAAUGCCGCGUGAGUGAAGACGGCCUUAGGGUUGUAAAACUCUUUCGCUAGGGAAGAUAAUGACGGUACCUAGUAAAGAAGUCCCGGCUAACUCCGUGCCAGCAGCCGCGGUAAUACGGAGGGGACUAGCGUUGUUCGGAAUUACUGGGCGUAAAGCGCACGUAGGCGGACCAGAAAGUUGGGGGUGAAAUCCCGGGGGCUCAACCCCGGAACUGCCUCCAAAACUAUUGGUCUAGAGUUCGAGAGAGGUGAGUGGAAUUCCAAGUGUAGAGGUGAAAUUCGUAGAUAUUUGGAGGAACACCAGUGGCGAAGGCGGCUCACUGGCUCGAUACUGACGCUGAGGUGCGAAAGUGUGGGGAGCAAACAGGAUUAGAUACCCUGGUAGUCCACACCGUAAAACGAUGAAUGCCAGUCGUCGGGUAGCAUGCUAUUCGGUGACACACCUAAC